AUUGAACGCUGGCGGCAGGCCUAACACAUGCAAGUCGAACGAGUGGCGGACGGGUGAGUAAUGUCUGGGAAACUGCCCGAUGGAGGGGGAUAACUACUGGAAACGGUAGCUAAUACCGCAUACCAUCGGAUGUGCCCAUAUGGGAUUAGCUAGAAGGUGGGGUAACGGCUCACCUAGGCGACGAUCCCUAGCUGGCCUGAGAGGAUGACCAGCCAGACUUGAACUGAGCCCCGGUCCAGACUCCUACGUGAGGCCGAAGUGGGGAGUAUUGCCCAAUGGGCGCAAGCCUGAUGCAGCCAUGCCGCGUGUAUUAAGAAGGCCCUCGGGUUUUAAAGUACUUUCAGCGAGGAGGCGUUACUCGCAGAAGAAGCACCGGCUAACUCCGUGCCAGCAGCCGCGGUAAUUC
rnacentral:rRNA from 1 species